AACGAACGCUGGCGGCAGGCUUAACACAUGCAAGUCGAACGCAUCCUUCGGGGUGAGUGGCAGACGGGUGAGUAACGCGUGGGAACGUGCCCUUCAGUUCGGGAUAACCCAGGGAAACUUGGGCUAAUACCGGAUACGUGCGAGAGCAGAAAGAUUUAUCGCUGAAGGAUCGGCCCGCGUCUGAUUAGCUAGUUGGUGGGGUAAUGGCCCACCAAGGCGACGAUCAGUAGCUGGUCUGAGAGGAUGAUCAGCCACAUUGGGACUGCGACACGGCCCAAACUCCUACGGGAGGCAGCAGUGGGGAAUAUUGGACAAUGGGCGCAAGCCUGAUCCAACCAUGCCGCGUGAGUGAUGAAGGCCUUAGGGUUGUAAAGCUCUUUCGUCCGGGACGAUAAUGACGGUACCGGAAGAAGAAGCCCCGGCUAACUUCGUGCCAGCCGCCGCGGUAACAC
rnacentral:rRNA from 1 species